GCGGGAGUAACUCAUUGGUAGAGUCACAGCUUCCCGAGAUGUUGGUCGCGGGUUCGAUCCCCGUCUCCCGCUCCA
rnacentral:tRNA from 1 species